GGGAGGGGGAGAGAUUGACAUCCAUCACACACAAUGCACACCUUGCACACAGAAAAACACACAAUGCAUUACACACAGACACACGUACACAAGCAAUGCAUCCCUUACACACAGCAACACACAAUGCACCCCUUACACACACUCAAUGCAUCCCUUACAUACACAAACUCAUCUUGCAGCCCUUACACAUACAAACACAGAUUCAC